GAGUAAUGUCUGGGAAACUGCCUGAUGGAGGGGGAUAACUACUGGAAACGGUGGCUAAUACCGCAUAACGUCGCAAGACCAAAGAGGGGGACCUUCGGGCCUCUUGCCAUCAGAUGUGCCCAGAUGGGAUUAGCUUGUUGGUGAGGUAACGGCUCACCAAGGCGACGAUCCCUAGCUGGUCUGAGAGGAUGACCAGCCACACUGGAACUGAGACACGGUCCAGACUCCUACGGGAGGCAGCAGUGGGGAAUAUUGCACAAUGGGCGCAAGCCUGAUGCAGCCAUGCCGCGUGUAUGAAGAAGGCCUUCGGGUUGUAAAGUACUUUCAGCGGGGAGGAAGGUGUUGUGGUUAAUAACCGCAGCAAUUGACGUUACCCGCAGAAGAAGCACCGGCUAACUCCGUGCCAGCAGCCGCGGUAAUACGGAGGGUGCAAGCGUUAAUCGGAAUUACUGGGCGUAAAGCGCACGCAGGCGGUCUGUCAAGUCGGAUGUGAAAUCCCCGGGCUCAACCUGGGAACUGCAUUCGAAACUGGCAGGCUUGAGUCUUGUAGAGGGGGGUAGAAUUCCAGGUGUAGCGGUGAAAUGCGUAGAGAUCUGGAGGAAUACCGGUGGCGAAGGCGGCCCCCUGGACAAAGACUGACGCUCAGGUGCGAAAGCGU
rnacentral:rRNA from 2 species